rnacentral:rRNA from 1 species
UGCAAGUCGAACGAGUUCUGAUUAUUGAAAGGUGCUUGCAUCUUGAUUUAAUUUUGAACGAGUGGCGGACGGGUGAGUAACACGUGGGUAACCUGCCCUUAAGUGGGGGAUAACAUUUGGAAACAGAUGCUAAUACCGCAUAAAUCCAAGAACCGCAUGGUUCUUGGCUGAAAGAUGGCGUAAGCUAUCGCUUUUGGAUGGACCCGCGGCGUAUUAGCUAGUUGGUGAGGUAACGGCUCACCAAGGCAAUGAUACGUAGCCGAACUGAGAGGUUGAUCGGCCACAUUGGGACUGAGACACGGCCCAAACUCCUACGGGAGGCAGCAGUAGGGAAUCUUCCACAAUGGACGCAAGUCUGAUGGAGCAACGCCGCGUGAGUGAAGAAGGCUUUCGGGUCGUAAAACUCUGUUGUUGGAGAAGAAUGGUCGGCAGAGUAACUGUUGUCGGCGUGACGGUAUCCAACCAGAAAGCCACGGCUAACUACGUGCCAGCAGCCGCGGUAAUACGUAGGUGGCAAGCGUUAUCCGGAUUUAUUGGGCGUAAAGCGAGCGCAGGCGGUUUUUUAAGUCUGAUGUGAAAGCCCUCGGCUUAACCGAGGAAGUGCAUCGGAAACUGGGAAACUUGAGUGCAGAAGAGGACAGUGGAACUCCAUGUGUAGCGGUGAAAAUGCGUAGAUAUAUGGAAGAACACCAGUGGCGAAGGCGGCUGUCUGGUCUGUAACUGACGCUGAGGCUCGAAAGCAUGGGUAGCGAACAGGAUUAGAUACCCUGGUAGUCCAUGCCGUAAACGAUGAAUGCUAGGUGUUGGAGGGUUUCCGCCCUUCAGUGCCGCAGCUAACGCAUUAAGCAUUCCGCCUGGGGAGUACGACCGCAAGGUUGAAACUCAAAGGAAUUGACGGGGGCCCGCACAAGCGGUGGAGCAUGUGGUUUAAUUCGAAGCAACGCGAAGAACCUUACCAGGUCUUGACAUCUUUUGAUCACCUGAGAGAUCAGGUUUCCCCUUCGGGGGCAAAAUGACAGGUGGUGCAUGGUUGUCGUCAGCUCGUGUCGUGAGAUGUUGGGUUAAGUCCCGCAACGAGCGCAACCCUUAUGACUAGUUGCCAGCAUUUAGUUGGGCACUCUAGUAAGACUGCCGGUGACAAACCGGAGGAAGGUGGGGAUGACGUCAAAUCAUCAUGCCCCUUAUGACCUGGGCUACACACGUGCUACAAUGGAUGGUACAACGAGUUGCGAGACCGCGAGGUCAAGCUAAUCUCUUAAAGCCAUUCUCAGUUCGGACUGUAGGCUGCAACUCGCCUACACGAAGUCGGAAUCGCUAGUAAUCGCGGAUCAGCACGCCGCGGUGAAUACGUUCCCGGGCCUUGUACACACCGCCCGUCACACCAUGAGAGUUUGUAACACCCGAAGCCGGUGGCGUAACCCUUUUAGGGAGCGAGCCGUCU